rnacentral:rRNA from 1 species
AGUCACGAGUUUGAUCAUUGGCUCAGGAUGAACGCUAGCGGCAGGCUUAACACAUGCAAGUCGAGGGGUAGGUUACUUCGGUAAUUGAGACCGGCGCACGGGUGCGUAACGCGUAUACAAUCUACCUUUUACAGAGGGAUAGCCCAGAGAAAUUUGGAUUAAUACCUCAUAGUAUUUUUGAAUCGCAUGAUUUGAUUAUUAAAGUUCCAACGGUAAAAGAUGAGUAUGCGUCCCAUUAGCUAGAUGGUAAGGUAACGGCUUACCAUGGCUACGAUGGGUAGGGGUCCUGAGAGGGAGAUCCCCCACACUGGUACUGAGACACGGACCAGACUCCUACGGGAGGCAGCAGUGAGGAAUAUUGGACAAUGGGCGCAAGCCUGAUCCAGCCAUGCCGCGUGCAGGAAGAAGGUCCUAUGGAUUGUAAACUGCUUUUAUACAAGAAGAAACACUCCCUCGUGAGGGAACUUGACGGUACUGUAUGAAUAAGGACCGGCUAACUCCGUG